rnacentral:rRNA from 1 species
AUUGAGCGCUGGCGGCAGGCCUAACACAUGCAAGUCGAGCGGAUGAAGGGGGCUUGCUCCUGGAUUCAGCGGCGGACGGGUGAGUAAUGCCUAGGAAUCUGCCUGGUAGUGGGGGAUAACGUCCGGAAACGGGCGCUAAUACCGCAUACGUCCUGAGGGAGAAAGUGGGGGAUCUUCGGACCUCACGCUAUCAGAUGAGCCUAGGUCGGAUUAGCUAGUUGGUGGGGUAAAGGCCUACCAAGGCGACGAUCCGUAACUGGUCUGAGAGGAUGAUCAGUCACACUGGAACUGAGACACGGUCCAGACUCCUACGGGAGGCAGCAGUGGGGAAUAUUGGACAAUGGGCGAAAGCCUGAUCCAGCCAUGCCGCGUGUGUGAAGAAGGUCUUCGGAUUGUAAAGCACUUUAAGUUGGGAGGAAGGGCAGUAAGUUAAUACCUUGCUGUUUUGACGUUACCAACAGAAUAAGCACCGGCUAACUUCGUG